GAUAAACGCUGGCGGCGUGCAUGAGACAUGCAAGUCGAACGGGUGACUCGGGCUUGCUCGAGUCGCUAGUGGCGGACGGCUGAGUAACGCGUAGGUGACCUGUCCCGAAGUGGGGAAUAACUGCCCGAAAGGGUGGCUAAUACCGCAUGUGUCCACAUGUUCGAUCAUGUGAGUAAAGCCGCAAGGCGCUUCGGGAGGGGCCUGCGUCCGAUUAGCNCGUUGGUGGGGUAACGGCUCACCAAGGCGACGAUCGGUAGGUGGUCUGAGAGGACGAUCACCCAGACUGGGACUGAGACACGGCCCAGACUCCUACGGGAGCAGCAGUCGGGAAUUUUGCUCAAUGGGCGCAAGCCUGAAGCAGCCAACGCCGCGU
rnacentral:rRNA from 1 species